GGAGAGGUGUGUGAGUGGUUGAAACAGCAGGUCUCGAAAACCUGUAUACCGAAAGGUAUCGAGGGUUCAAAUCCCUCCCUCUCCG
rnacentral:tRNA from 1 species